UUGUUUGCAAAAAGCAUGAAUAAUGAUUAGAGAUUUAGCAGAUAAAGCCGAUAGAGUUAGACAUACAAUAACACGCUAUAUAUAAAUAAAUGUUCAAACAAGUCAAAUAUGAAAAUAAUACUUUAAAAAAAAGAUAGUUCCUCUAUUAUACAGCUGACAUAUCUUUCACGAAUCUUGAACCUAAGAUAGAAGAAGCUUUGACAUUCGACAACUACGACAUCUACAGUCUCAACUCAAAUGCUAUUGAAGAUAUGUAUUGUACAAUUGAAGACGUCUGGACGCAGAGACUAAGCUUCUUACUCACUUGCAGUGAUGAAAAGAAAUCAAAUAUUUAACAGAGAGGAUGUUAGCAUUUAGCCAGCCUAUAAAGCCAUUCUUGUAUCUUGUUCUGAAUGUUAAGUCCUGUGUUCCAGGCUUUAGUUUAGAGUUUAGACAAUUCAUCCCAUUAUCUAUUGUUAAAAUUUGAAGGAAAAAAAAAGAAUGAGUCAAUUGAUCUUCGUAGUGUGGAGGGUAGGAGGCGUACAAGUGUUGUUGAGUGAUACCAGAGGCAACCAUAAUUGAGAUGAGGGGACAGAAGAUUGUCUAUUGUGAUGCGACUUCUUAUUUAUUUAAAUGCUACGUUUGUUGUUUUUUUCCUUAAGUGUGUGUACACAUUAAACUAAGAUAGAAAAAACGUAAUAUUAUUUAUCAAAAUAUAAAAAUAAUUUUUUUUCUGAAAAAAAAAGCGUAUUCUAUUUAGAUUACAUUUUAAUUAUAAUUAUUGUUUGAAAGGGUCACUAUCAGCCUAUACUCUAAUUUAUCAAGAACCGAUUGUUGUAUUUUAUUAUUGUGCCAAUAUUAUUUAUCUAAAACAAAGCAUCUAGUUCACAUAUAAGUCUUUGACUUAGAGGUCAUUAUUUAACGUCUAUAUAGAAAUCUGGGCUACCAGGUUGAAAACUCAGCCUCAUUUUUUAUGAAAUAAUGGUUUAAAAUACUUUAAAAAAAUAACUGAAGUAUCCAUUUCAGACCUUGGGAUCUAUUAAAUAGUUUGAUAUUUUUUUUUAACUAUAAGAUGUUGUUUAGUUUAUCUAAAUAGGACCUAAGUACGAGAGUUUGAGUUAAUUGGUUAAUCCAGUGUUUCUCAAACUUUUUUUCUUAAAGGAACACUUAUCACAAUCUGAGAAUUUAGGGGAACACUUCUAUUGUUCAGAUAGGUUAAAUAACGUGGUGAAUUACUACUUAAUUAUUCCAUUAUAUAGUGGAACAACUAUGUAGGUCUCGUGGAACACUAAGAUUCCGCUGAACACAGUUUGGGAAACAUUGAGCUAAUCAACUCGCUUUAAAUAAGUAGAAUUAAAUAAAAUGAUGUUAUUGUAUAUUAAUUCAUAGAGUAUAUUUUUCUUCUUAUCUGAAGAACAAUAGAUAUAUAUAUAUCUUCAGAAUGCAACUGGCUGUUAACUUUAUACAUUACUUUACAUGUAAUAUUUGAAAUUGUUUGUCUCAAUGUUAUUUUACAUAUCAAAAUAGAAGAC
rnacentral:sRNA from 1 species